rnacentral:rRNA from 1 species
CACCAAACCGACGAUCAGUAGCCGACCUGAGAGGGCGACCGGCCACAUUGGGACUGAGACACGGCCCAAACUCCUACGGGAGGCAGCAGUGGGGAAUAUUGCACAAUGGGGGAAACCCUGAUGCAGCGACGCCGCGUGAGCGAAGAAGUAUUUCGGUAUGUAAAGCUCUAUCAGCAGGGAAGAUAAUGACGGUACCUAACAAGAAAGCACCGGCUAACUAC